GACGAACGCUGGCGGCGUGCUUAACACAUGCAAGUCGAACGGAAAGGCCCUGCUUUUGUGGGGUGCUCGAGUGGCGAACGGGUGAGUAACACGUUAGUAACCUGCCCUUGACUUUGGGAUAACUUCAGGAAACUGGGGCUAAUACCGGAUAGGAGCUCCUGCUGCAUGGUGGGGGUUGGAAAGUUUCGGCGGUUGGGGAUGGACUCGCGGCUUAUCAGCUUGUUGGUGGGGUAGUGGCUUACCAAGGCUUUGACGGGUAGCCGGCCUGAGAGGGUGACCGGCCACGUUGGGACUGAGAUACGGCACAGACUCCUACGGGAGGCAGCAGUGGGGAAUAUUGCACAAUGGGCGGAAGCCUGAUGCAGCAACGCCGCGUGCGGGAUGACGGCCUUCGGGUUGUAAACCGCUUUCGCCUGUGACGAAGCGUGAGUGACGGUAAUGGGUAAAGAAGCACCGGCUAACUACGUG
rnacentral:rRNA from 1 species